UUACCGUUAUUCAUCGAUCGUGUAUUCUGUCUGGACUGAAAUGGAAAGUAAAAAGUAAAAUCAAGAAACUAGAGAUUCCGGAUCGUAUGAGGAUUGUAGAAACAAAUGGGGAAGUUUAAAAGAUACUACGUCAAACUCGACGGCUGGCUCACGUGGUGGCGUUGCGGAUCACAUUUCAACCUCCAAGAAGAAAUCGAAAUCAUGGAGACCAGCUUCAUGGGUCC
rnacentral:lncRNA from 1 species